AACGUGGAGACAGGUGGUGCAUGGCUGUCGUCAGCUCGUGUCGUGAGAUGUUGGGUUAAGUCCCGCAACGAGCGCAACCCUCACCCCUUGUUGCUACCAGGUAAAGCUGGGCACUCUAGGGGAACUGCCCCGGUCAACGGGGAGGAAGGCGGGGAUGACGUCAAGUCAUCAUGCCCCUUACGUCCUGGGCUACACACGUGCUACAAUGGCCGGUACAAAGGGAUGCCACACCGUGAGGUAGAGCUAAACCCAAAAAGCCGGUCUAAGUUCAGAUUGGAGUCUGCAACUCGACUCCAUGAAGGAGGAAUCGCUAGUAAUCGCGUAUCAGCACGACGCGGUGAAUACGUUCCCGGGCCUUGUACACACCGCCCGUCACACCACGAAAGCCAGCUGUACUCGAAGUCGCUGAG
rnacentral:rRNA from 1 species